rnacentral:lncRNA from 1 species
UUAAAGAAGUCAUUGCAUGAAGAAGCUGCCAGGAUGAUAUUACAAUCACCUUAACUGUCAGUUCAGCCAAAUUACAAAAAAAUAAGAAGCUUUCCCAUGGUGUCUCCAGCCAUCAACAUAGUCUGGGUUUAAUUCAGCUGAGUUUUGAGAACGCCUGCCACCACCCAAAUGCAAUGGAGGUGAACAGAAAUUCACUUGUUGUGCUUCAAUAAUAAAAACCAUGACAUUUGAAAAGCUCAUGCAGCAAAACAGUCCAGAAACAAUGUCCAGAUUACUCUGGAUACCCUACAGACCUUUAAAUGGACAUUUUACAAAUUAUUACCUAACAAAAUAGUCCCCUGGAAUCUGUUGACAGUGAGGUCUGUGGAUUAUCCAGAGAAAUCUGAACAUUGGUACUGGAAACAUUGAUGAUCUUAGGACCACAAGUGAAAGUGAUAAGUAUCUAAAAACUUGGAAUGAGCGCAGAAAAAGACACUCAAGCAGUGAGAAAAUCUGUUUUUGUGAUUUGGGAGGACUGACCCUUUAAUGAAACAGUGUAUGUGCAGUAGGGUCUAAAGCAAUGAGCCAGAACCAAGAGGCCUUUUUAUUUCAUCAUUUAUCAAAAUUCAUCCAUGUUUGUUGGGGAAAUACCUGAUAUCGAUAUCUUGACUUUGAGUAAAUCUUUUGUAAUAUCUGAACAUUAUUCCAUCACUUUAUAAUACAGCAUUUAUAUUGGGUUUGAAUUGCGGAAAACCAUGAAAGUCAACACCUCCUGCCCUUCAAACCAGCCUGUCAACAAGUCUUGAAGUGUAAUUGCACUUAAUAUCCUCUUUGUAAAUGAAUCCUUUCCAAUAGAUUGGAAGCCAAAAAAGAAAGUAAGAAAAUAAUGAGGUUCCUCUAUGGACUUCUGCAUGCAGCUAUCAUCUCCUUAUAUAAGCUCUCCAAUUUGAACUGAUGUGUAAACAAUAGGUUCCUGUGGUCAUUAGCAGUGACAGUUUGGCCCACCCAGAACAUUUAGUCAUCAGCAGAGGAGGUUUGGAAAAUGUAAGUGUCACUCAUUACUGCAGUCUGACAGUUGUCUUUUAUGAACUGCAGUCAGACCUUCGGUUCAGUUGCAUUUGUAUCAUAGAUACCAUAAGGAUGUUUAGUUGCUAUAUUAUUGACUUGAUGUACUGCUGUGUGUGUGAAUCUGUGUUUCCAAUUAUUCAAAUGAAAAGAUGAGAUCUUCAUACUGUUCAGUAGCUGAGAAAGAG